rnacentral:rRNA from 1 species
CCUACGGGCGGCAGCAGUGGGGAAUAUUGGGCAAUGGGCGCAAGCCUGACCCAGCAACGCCGCGUGAAGGAAGAAGUCUUUCGGGUUGUAAACUUCUUUUCUCAGGGACGAAAAAGUCGACGGUACCUGAGGAAUAAGCCACGGCUAACUACGUGCCAGCAGCCGCGGUAAUACGUAGGCGGCAAGCGUUAUCCGGUUUUAUUGGGGGUAAAGGGCGUGUAGGCGGGAGCGCAAGUCAGAUGUGAAAACUCAGGGCUCAACCCUGCGACUGCAUUGGAAACUGUGUUUCUUGAGUGCAGGAGAGGUAAGCGGAAUGCCGGGUGUAGCGGUGAAAUGCGUAGAUAUAAGGAGGAACACCAGUGGCGAAGGCGGAUUGCUGGACAGUAACUGACGCUGAGGCGCGAAAGCGUGGGGAGCAAACAGGAUUAGAUACCCGAGUAGUC